AGAGUUUGAUUAUGGCUCAGAAUGAACGUUGGCGGCGUGGAUUAGGCAUGCAAGUCGAGCGGGUAUAGCAAUAUACCAGCGGCGAAAGGGAUAGUAACGCGUAGUUACAACCCCCGGGACUGGGAUAGCUUUUGGAAACGAAAGGUAAUACCAGAUAACAUCUCCGGAUCAAAGGUGAGAUUCCGCCUGGGGACGGGACUGCGUCCUAUUAGUUAGUUGGUGAGGUAAUGGCUCACCAAGACGACGAUGGGUAGCGGGCGUGAGAGCGUGACCCGCAUCAUUGGGACUGAGACACUGCCCAGACACCUACGGGUGGCUGCAGUCGAGAAUCUUCGGCAAUGGACGAAAGUCUGACCGAGCGACGCCGCGUGCGGGAAUGAAGGUCUUCGGAUUGUAAACCGCUGUCAAGUUGGAGGAAGUAUCCAGGAGCAAUCUUCUGGAUUUGACCGAGAGCAAAAGGAAGGACGGGCUAAGUUCGUGCCAGCAGCCGC
rnacentral:rRNA from 1 species